GACGUAGGGCGCGAGCGUUGUCCGGAUUUAUUGGGCGUAAAGAGCUCGUAGGCGGCUUGUCGCGUCGAAUGUGAAAACUCGGGGCUCAACUCCAAGCUUGCAUUCGAUACGGGCAGGCUAGAGUUCGGUAGGGGAGACUGGAAUUCCUGGUGUAGCGGUGAAAUGCGCAGAUAUCAGGAGGAACACCCGUGGCGAAGGCGGCUCUCUGGGACGGUACUGACGCUGAGACGCGAAAGCGUGGGGAGCGAACAGG
rnacentral:rRNA from 1 species